AGAGUUUGAUCCUGGCUCAGGACGAACGCUGGCGGCGUGCCUAACACAUGCAAGUCGAGCGAAGAUACAAAGUAGUUUACUAUGAUGUAUCUUAGCGGCGGACGGGUGAGUAACGCGUGGGCAACCUGCCUUACAGAGGGGGAUAACAGUGCGAAAGCACUGCUAAUACCGCAUGACAUUGUCUUAUCGCAUGAUGAGAC
rnacentral:rRNA from 1 species